rnacentral:rRNA from 1 species
GAGAGGAGCUUGCUCCUGGAUUCAGCGGCGGACGGGUGAGUAAUGCCUAGGAAUCUGCCUGGUAGUGGGGGACAACGUUUCGAAAGGAACGCUAAUACCGCAUACGUCCUACGGGAGAAAGCAGGGGACCUUCGGGCCUUGCGCUAUCAGAUGAGCCUAGGUCGGAUUAGCUAGUUGGUGAGGUAAUGGCUCACCAAGGCGACGAUCCGUAACUGGUCUGAGAGGAUGAUCAGUCACACUGGAACUGAGACACGGUCCAGACUCCUACGGGAGGCAGCAGUGGGGAAUAUUGGACAAUGGGCGAAAGCCUGAUCCAGCCAUGCCGCGUGUGUGAAGAAGGUCUUCGGA